AAUUUAUGAUAGAAUCAAGUAAUUUGAUUAAUAAAAGCUUCCACAUAUCCCCAACCAUCAUCAAUAUCAGGUUCCACCCAAUAAUCAAUUUUUAUUUCGCGAGUACAAGACCUUAUAUUCAUACAACCAGUAACAAGUUUACCCAAAUGAUCUAAGCGAGUCAAAUAUCCACAGCAACUCCUGGGGAAAAUAUAUCUCUACUUUAUGGGCAAAAUGCAGGAAGGUUGGUUGCUGCAAACAAUUAUAAAACAAAACAUAAAAGACCUUGGAAGUUCAGUGCAAAUUUACUUGUCUUUAUGCUUACAGUGACAUCAGAAAUCUAUCGAUUUUUGCUUUAACCUUGGAACUAGAUUUUGUUUUAUAAACAAAAUAUUUAUUAAUCAAAAGUCAGGAAAAAUUUAGCAUGAGAUACUCAAUUUAUACCCAACCAAUAGGUCUCCUCGCAAAAAUCAACCUAGAAGGAAUCAUGCUAAGUGAAAAAAUCUGGCAAAAGGAGUGCAAACCAAACAAGAAACAACCAACAAAGAAACUGAAUUAAAGAAAAACACAACAAAACCCCAGGCAUCUCGCCAAUGUGCUUCUGUGCAUUUGAUCAUUGGCUAGCUAUGAUAUACUUGAUUCAAACAAUGAAGGACAUGAACAUCAAAAUUUUCAUGGACUUCUGGCUGUCAUUCUGAUAUUAAACUUUAUAAAAUUCCAUGGUCAAUGCAUUAAGAACAAAUUUUGAAGUGCUAAAUUCCAAAUCCAAAUAUUAAGAGUUACUUCUAAAAUAUAAAUUAUGGAAACAUGAUAAAUCUGAAAUAUAACCUGUAACUUAAUAUCAUGAAUAUGAUGUUUAUCUGGCAGGAAGCACAUAAAGAUAAUAAAACAAGAAGAUUAAGAAAGAAUAC
rnacentral:misc_RNA from 1 species